GAUGAACGCUGGCGGCGUGCCUAAUACAUGCAAGUCGAGCGAACGGACGAGAAGCUUGCUUCUCUGAUGUUAGCGGCGGACGGGUGAGUAACACGUGGAUAACCUACCUAUAAGACUGGGAUAACUUCGGGAAACCGUAGCUAAUACCGGAUAAUAUUUUGAACCGCAUGGUUCAAAAGUGAAAGACGGUCUUGCUGUCACUUAUAGAUGGAUCCGCGCUGCAUUAGCUAGUUGGUAAGGUAACGGCUUACCAAGGCAACGAUGCAUAGCCGACCUGAGAGGGUGAUCGGCCACACUGGAACUGAGACACGGUCCAGACUCCUACGGGAGGCAGCAGUAGGGAAUCUUCCGCAAUGGGCGAAAGCCUGACGGAGCAACGCCGCGUGAGUGAUGAAGGUCUUCGGAUCGUAAAACUCUGUUAUUAGGGAAGAACAUAUGUGUAAGUAACUGUGCACAUCUUGACGGUACCUAAUCAGAAAGCCACGGCUAACUACGUGCCAGCAGCCGCGGUAAUACGUAGGUGGCAAGCGUUAUCCGGAAUUAUUGGGCGUAAAACGCGCGUAGGCGGUUUUUUAAGUCUGAUGUGAAAGCCCACGGCUCAACCGUGGAGGGUCAUUGGAAACUGGAAAACUUGAGUGCAGAAGAGGAAAGUGGAAUUCCAUGUGUAGCGGUGAAAUGCGCAGAGAUAUGGAGGAACACCAGUGGCGAAGGCGACUUUCUGGUCUGUAACUGACGCUGAUGUGCGAAAGCGUGGGGAUCAAACAGGAUUAGAUACCCUGGUAGUCCACGCCGUAAACGAUGAGUGCUAAGUGUUAGGGGGUUUCCGCCCCUUAGUGCUGCAGCUAACGCAUUAAGCACUCCGCCUGGGGAGUACGACCGCAAGGUUGAAACUCAAAGGAAUUGACGGGGACCCGCACAAGCGGUGGAGCAUGUGGUUUAAUUCGAAGCAACGCGAAGAACCUUACCAAAUCUUGACAUCCUUUGACAACUCUAGAGAUAGAGCCUUCCCCUUCGGGGGACAAAGUGACAGGUGGUGCAUGGUUGUCGUCAGCUCGUGUCGUGAGAUGUUGGGUUAAGUCCCGCAACGAGCGCAACCCUUAAGCUUAGUUGCCAUCAUUAAGUUGGGCACUCUAAGUUGACUGCCGGUGACAAACCGGAGGAAGGUGGGGAUGACGUCAAAUCAUCAUGCCCCUUAUGAUUUGGGCUACACACGUGCUACAAUGGACAAUACAAAGGGCAGCGAAACCGCGAGGUCAAGCAAAUCCCAUAAAGUUGUUCUCAGUUCGGAUUGUAGUCUGCAACUCGACUACAUGAAGCUGGAAUCGCUAGUAAUCGUAGAUCAGCAUGCUACGGUGAAUACGUUCCCGGGUCU
rnacentral:rRNA from 1 species